AGUGAACGCUGGCGGUAGGCCUAACACAUGCAAGUCGAACGGCAGCACAGUAAGAGCUUGCUCUUACGGGUGGCGAGUGGCGGACGGGUGAGGAAUACAUCGGAAUCUACUUUUUCGUGGGGGAUAACGUAGGGAAACUUACGCUAAUACCGCAUACGACCUACGGGUGAAAGCAGGGGAUCUUCGGACCUUGCGCGAUUGAAUGAGCCGAUGUCGGAUUAGCUAGUUGGCGGGGUAAAGGCCCACCAAGGCGACGAUCCGUAGCUGGUCUGAGAGGAUGAUCAGCCACACUGGAACUGAGACACGGUCCAGACUCCUACGGGAGGCAGCAGUGGGGAAUAUUGGACAAAGGGCGCAAGCCUGAUCCAGCCAUACCGCGUAGGUGAAGAAGGCCUUCGGGUUGUAAAGCCCUUUUGUUGGGAAAGAAAAGCAGCAGGUUAAUACCCCGCUGUUCUGACGGUACCCAAAGAAUAAGCACCGGCUAACUUCGUG
rnacentral:rRNA from 1 species